UGGGGUAUAGCUCAGUGGUAGAGCACUUGCCUAGCCUGCAAUGGACUAUGGGUUCAAUUCCCAGCACUGCAG
rnacentral:tRNA from 1 species